UUGAAAAGUUUAUGAUGCACGUGUGCAUCCAUCUGUUUUUAGGUUUCGUUUAUCACGUGGGAAUGGUAUUUUUAAAUGUUUCUCAAGAAAAAAUGUGGUCUGGACACUUGAGUGUUAUUUCUUAAAUGUAAUUAAUAAUUUCUUAUUUUAUUGGAUUGGAAAAAUGAUAUUCGAAUAUUGGGCCUUAUAUACUAAUUGCUGGUAAGACUCGACAGUCGAUAAAGUAAAGUUAAAAAUUUAAUAUAACGCCAUCAGGUGGCCAAGGUAGGGACGUAACAAUUUAUAUGAUUUCACUGAUUACAUUUUUAUUUCACAACUAAAAGAAUCCUGUUGACUCCUGAUUCCCCGACUUUGCCGCCUAAUUUGAAAAACAUCUGUAGGACCAACACUAACACAAAUGAUUUAAUAAAGCGAUUAGACCACAAAUCACAAGCUUGUGAAGUAGAGGCUUCUACAUCACACUCCACACCAGCUCCUGAAGAACCUCUGGAUUUGGAAGCAACUGAAGAUACCCGAAUAGACUUUCUGUCAAAAGAUUAUUCAGGAAGUAUUGGACAUGCAACACCUCACGGGCGAGGGAUCAAGCGUUACAGACGUUCUGAUGAAUUCUUUGCAAUAUGGAACAGCGGAUUCAGAAUAUCAUCUCUAAAAAUAGUGGCCUGUUUAUUGGAAUUGAUGUUCCAUUUGAUGAGAGCAAAUCAAACUCUCUAUUUUACAGUUGUGAUGCUCUGUUGGAAACUUAGACACCCCCCCCCCCUUCGCAUCGCAUCACCAUCACCAGGAUAGAGCUCUGUCCAAUGAUCUCCAAUUCGGGCAUCCAAUGUCCUGAUCACUUGUCGAAGGGUUACAGCAUCCCCAGCGCCUCGCAUCAGCAACGCCAGUACCCAUCCUUGUCCAGUAAACCCCACGGUCUUGUUUAUUUAUUGAAGGCUUACAGCACCCCUGUACUUCAUCAGCAACACCAGGAUUCAGCUCAACCAAGAUCCAAUGGCCGUUCAUGCGAGGAUCCAAUGUCCUGAUCACCCGGCAAAACCUUACAGCAUCCCCAGUACCUCGCAUCAGCAACGCCAGUACCCAUCCUUGUCCAGUCAACCUCACUGUCUUGUUUACCUAUUGAAGGCUUACAGGACCCCCUGUACUUAAUCAGCAACACCAGAGUUCAGUUCAACCAAGAUGCAAUGACUCCCCAGCAACUCCCAACAUGACAAUAAUCUGCAACACUCGUGUAAAGAUUCCAGGAGAUACAUACGCCAAAGAUUAGCGAAGUCUCUACCACGUUAUGAAAAAACGAAGUUCAUCCUUGACAACUGUUCAGAACAAAUGGAUCCAGAAAUACAAGACUAUUCGAAACAAUGCUAUACUCGUCUUGAUACAGUUCUUCAUCAACUCUAGUAUAGCUAUACAGGAUUAUUUUGUGUGCAUGAAGAAACUGAUCAGGAGCCUGUUAUUAGUAACCCGGCUUACACAAGAUGCAAAGCGGGUCAUGAAGAAGUUAUCAUUAAUUCAUCAGACUAGAAGAGGCUGAAGAAGCUGAUGGGGAUUCUCAUCAUGAACUUUCGGACUGCGUUGUCUACUUUCAAUUUUAUGAUAUCAUUUUAUCGUAUCAAUAAGUUGUACGUUGAUUGUGAUUCUCUGUGUUAUAAAUGUCAAGUCAGGAUGAACCAGAAUAUCCCAUAUGAGGAAUAUUCUGCAAUAUUUAUAGCGUCUUAAAUAACGCCAGUACUUUUGUUAUAUAUGUAAACUUAUAUUCCGAUUGAUUUCAUUAUAAAUUUUGAGAUACUUGUUACUGUAUUGUUAUGUUACAUACUAUUGGGGUAUCCGUCCAGAGUUAAAGUUUCAUAAGUAUAUAAAUAGGUUUAUGAUGUUAUUCGUUUUAUUCUUUGAUAAUAAUAAUAAUAGAUAAUAAUAAAUACGGAGUCAGGAACUUUAUAUCAAUGUUUUCCCAUUGUCUAAAGAAAAUAAAAAUGAAACCCAAAUGUGGA